GUCCUGUCCUUGCCCUCUCUGUUGGUGUCAGAAACCUACACCUACAGAGAGGGCACUGACAGGAUAG
rnacentral:miRNA from 1 species